CAUCUGACCGGCCUUGAAGAGGCACUCCCUUCGGGCAGAUGUGUAGGUGCUGCAUGGUUGUCGUCAGCUCGUGCCGUGAGGUGUCGGCUUAAGCGCCAUAACGAGCGCAACCUCAUCAUUAGUUACCAUCAGGUAAGGCUGGGGACUCUAAUGAGACUGCCAUCGUAAGAUGUGAGGAAGGUGGGGAUGACGUCAAAUCAGCACGGCCCUUACGUCCGGGGCGACACACGUGUUACAAUGGGUGGUACAAAGGGCAGCUACCUGGCGACAGGAUGCUAAUCUCGAAAACCGCUCUCAGUUCGGAUCGGAGUCUGCAACUCGACUCCGUGAAGCUGGAUUCGCUAGUAAUCGCGCAUCAGCCACGGCGCGGUGAAUACGUUCCCGGGCCUU
rnacentral:rRNA from 1 species